AUUGAACGCUGGCGGCAGGCCUAACACAUGCAAGUCGAGCGGAGCGGCGGACGGGUGAGUAAUGCCUAGGAAUCUGCCUGGUAGUGGGGGAUAACGUCCGGAAACGGGCGCUAAUACCGCAUACUAUCAGAUGAGCCUAGGUCGGAUUAGCUAGUUGGUGGGGUAAAGGCCUACAAGGGCGACGAUCCGUAACUGGUCUGAGAGGAUGAUCAGUCACACUGGAACUUAGACACGGUCCAGACUCCUACGGGAGGAAGCGGUGGGGAAUAUUGGGCAAUGGGCGAAAGCGUGAUCCAGCCAUGCCGCGUGUGUGAAGAGGGUCUGCAGAUUGUAGGGCACUUUAAGUUGGGAGGCGUUACCAGCAGAAUAAGCACCGGCUAACUUCGUGUCAGCAGCCGCGGUAAUUC
rnacentral:rRNA from 1 species